rnacentral:rRNA from 1 species
CACUGACGUCGCGACGCAUAUCAAUAAGCGGAGGAAAAGAAACUAACAAGGAUUCCCCUAGUAACGGCGAGUGAAGCGGGAAGAGCUCAAAUUUGAAAUCUUCAAGGGUUUCCCUUGACGAAUUGUAGUUUAAAGAAGUGUUUUCUGUUAGAGAGGUGGUAAAAGUUCUUUGGAAUAGGACAUCAUAGAGGGUGAGAAUCCCGUAUUUGAUCACUUUCUACUAACGUUGUGAUACACUUUCAAAGAGUCGGAUUGUUUGGGAAUGCAGUCCAAAAUGGGUGGUAAAUUUCAUCUAAAGCUAAAUACUGGCGAGAGACCGAUAGCGAACAAGUACCGUGAGGGAAAGAUGAAAAGAACUUUGAAAAGAGAGUUAAACAGUACGUGAAAUUGUCAAAAGGGAAGCGUUUGACACCAGUGUUGUUUUCUCGAAAAUCAAUUAAAAAUGGUGGGAUGUUGUGUUGUUAUUGACUUUAUCAGCUUUCUGCACUUUUUUCCUAUCUUUUUUAAUGCACUUUUCGUUUAACAAGUCAACAUCAAUUUCUUUUGUUGUAAAAGAGUCAUUGGAAGGUGGCUUUCUUUUCGGAGAAAGUGUUUAUAGCCUUUGGCUUCUGCAAUCGGAGAGAUUGAGGUCUGCAGCGUAGAUCCUUCGGGGUUAGAUACAUUUGUGCUAAGCUAUAGCCUCGUAUAGACAACUUGUUGACUAUGCUCAGUCAUGUAGCUUACUCGCUUAUGCUAUUUUACCUACGCUUAGGAUGUUGACACACGCGCGUGCUCG